ACCAGACGAUGCGGUUACCGCGGCUGCUGGCACGGAGUUAGCCGGUGCUUCUUCUGUGAGUGAUGUCCUUCCUGCCGGCUAUUAACCCGCAGGCCUUCUUCCUCACUGAAAGUGCUUUACAACCCGAAGGCCUUCUUCACACACGCGGCAUGGCUGGAUCAGGGUUGCCCCCAUUGUCCAAUAUUCCCCACUGCUGCCUCCCGUAGGAGUCUGGGCCGUGUCUCAGUCCCAGUGUGGCUGAUCAUCCUCUCAGACCAGCUACGGAUCGUCGCCUUGGUGAGCCGUUACCUCACCAACCAGCUAAUCCGACAUAGGCUCAUCCGAUAGCGCGAGGCCCGAAGGUCCCCCGCUUUCCCCCGUAGGGCGUAUGCGGUAUUAGCCUGGGUUUCCCCAGGUUAUCCCCCACUACCGGGCAGAUUCCUAUGCAUUACUCACCCGUCCGCCGCUCGCCACCAGGGAGCAAGCUCCCCGUGCUGCCGCUCGACUUGCAUGUGUUAGGCCUGCCGCCAGCGUUCAAUCU
rnacentral:rRNA from 1 species